AUUGAACGCUGGCGGCAGGCUUAACACAUGCAAGUCGAGCGGAUGAAAGUAGCUUGCUACCGGAUUCAGCGGCGGACGGGUGAGUAAUGCUUAGGAAUCUGCCUAUUAGUGGGGGACAACGUUCCGAAAGGAGCGCUAAUACCGCAUACGUCCUACGGGAGAAAGCAGGGGACCUUCGGGCCUUGCGCUAAUAGAUGAGCCUAAGUCGGAUUAGCUAGUUGGUAGGGUAAAGGCCUACCAAGGCGACGAUCUGUAGCGGGUCUGAGAGGAUGAUCCGCCACACUGGGACUGAGACACGGCCCAGACUCCUACGGGAGGCAGCAGUGGGGAAUAUUGGACAAUGGGGGGAACCCUGAUCCAGCCAUGCCGCGUGUGUGAAGAAGGCCUUUUGGUUGUAAAGCACUUUAAGCGAGGAGGAGGCUACCUAGAUUAAUACUUUAGGAUAGUGGACGUUACUCGCAGAAUAAGCACCGGCUAACUCUGUGCCAGCAGCCGCGGUAAUACAGAGGGUGCGAGCGUUAAUCGGAUUUACUGGGCGUAAAGCGUGCGUAGGCGGCCAAUUAAGUCAAAUGUGAAAUCCCCGAGCUUAACUUGGGAAUUGCAUUCGAUACUGGUUGGCUAGUGUAUGGGAGAGGAUGGUAGAAUUCCAGGUGUAGCGGUGAAAUGCGUAGAGAUCUGGA
rnacentral:rRNA from 1 species